rnacentral:rRNA from 1 species
GACGAACGCUGGCGGCGUGCUUAACACAUGCAAGUCGAACGGAAACGCCCCGGUGGCUUUCCACGAGCGGCGACCGGGGGAGUAACACGUGAGUAAGCGGCCCUAGCCUUCGGGUUAACAUCAGAUAACUCGGGCUAAUACCGGAUAGGACUCCAUGCUGCCUGGUGGGGGCUGGCAAGCUUCGGCGGGUGUGGGUUGAGUCGCGGCUGGUCAGCUUGUUGGUGGGGUAGUGGCUUACCAAGGCUUUGACGGGGAGCCGGCCUGAGAGGGCGACCGGCGACAUUGUGCAUGAGAUUCCGCCCAGAAGCCGAGGGGAGGAAGCGGCGGUGAAUGUUGCACAGUGGGCGGAAGGCUGAGUGAACAACGCCGGGUGUAGGAUGACGGCCUUGGGUUUGUGAGCCGAUUUCGGGAGGGGCGAGUCUUGUGGUGACGGUACCUGCAGAAGAAGCACCGGCUAACUACGUG